rnacentral:rRNA from 1 species
UUAAAUUACUAUAUUUUAUUAUUUGUUAAAGUAAAAAAAUUAAAUUAAUUUUUUAAUUUAUUAUCGUGAGAGAUUAUUUUAAUAUGUUUAAAUUUUAAUUUAUUUUAUUUUAUCUUUGGUAUCAGAGUAAUUUUAUUUAAAUAGUGUAUUUUUAUUUUUCGAAAUUUAAUGAGUUAAUUGAUAAUUUUUUAUAUCGUGAUAAAGAUAUUAUAAUUAUUGGUUGGGAGUGAAAUGUUAUUCGUAUUAAUAGAUAUCUAGUUACUUUUAUUUAAUUUAAUUGUUUUUUUAUUGAUUUAGAAUGAGUAAUAAAUAAGGGAUAAACUUUUUUUAUUUAAAUUAAUUUAUAUGUUUAUAUAAAUAUUUUAAGAUUAAUAUUUUUUAUUAUUUGAUGAAUUAGUUAUUUAAUAUAAUUUAAAUUUUUUAUUACAGUUUUUAUUAUUUAUUUUUUAAGUUUAUAUAAAUUUUUUUUUUUAUUAAUUAUGAUUUUAUUAGUAAAUUUUUUUUAUUAAUGUAAAUUUAAAAUUUUGGAGAUUUUUAUUAAUUAGACAAAUUAAAAUUAUUUACCUGUUUAUCAAAAACAUGGUUUUUUGUUUUUAAUUUAAAAUUAUAUCUGCUCAAUGUUUAAUAUUAAAUGGCUGCAGUAUUUUAACUGUACUAAGGUAGCAUAAUAAUUUGGCUAUUGAAUGUAGUCUUGUAUGAAUGAUUUGAUAAGUGAUUAUUUUAUUAAUUUUUAUAAUUUAAUUUAUAAUUUUAGUCAGAAUACUAAAUUUUUUUAAUUGGACGAUAAGACCCUAUAAAGUUUUAUAUUUUAAUUAAUUUUUGUUUUAAAAUAUUUUGUUGGGAUGAUAAAUUUAUUUUUAAACUAUUUAUUUUGUUUAAAUUAUUAAUAUAUUUUAGGAGUUAAAUUUAUUUUUUGUUGGAUUAAAUUACUUUAGGGAUAACAGCAUAAUUAUUUAUUUAAGUUCUCAUUAUUUAAGUAGUUUAUGACCUCGAUGUUGAAUUAAAAUUUUUUUUAGGGGUAGUCUUCUAAUUAAUUAGUCUGUUCGACUAUUAAAAUUUUACAUGAUUUGAGUUCAGAUCGGUUUAGGCCAGAUCGGUUUCUAUCUUUUAAUAUUUAAAAAAUUUUUUGUACGAAAGGAUUAUUAAUUUUUAAUAUU